AGAGUUUGAUCCUGGCUCAGAACGAACGCUGGCGGCGUGCUUAACACAUGCAAGUCUAGGGGAAUUCGCUUUCGGGCGAUAGUACACUGGCGAACGGGUGAGUAACGCGUGAGAAACCUACCCCGGAGAUUGGGACAACACAGAGAAAUUUGUGCUAAUACCGGAUAAGCCCACGGGUUUAGUUAUUUGUGGGAAAAGGCGGGGCAACCUGUCGCUUUGGGAUGGUCUCGCGUGUCAUUAGCUAGUUGGUGAGGUAACGGCCCACCAAGGCGACGAUGCGUAGCCGACCUGAGAGGGUGAUCGGCCACAUUGGAACUGAGACACGGCCCAGACUCCUACGGGAGGCAGCAGUGGGGAAUAUUGCGCAAUGGGGGAAACCCUGACGCAGCAACGCCGCGUGAAGGAAGAAGGCCUUCGGGUUGUAAACUUCUUUGAUUGGGGACGAAGAAAGUGACUGUACCCAAAAAACAAGCCACGGCUAACUACGUGCCAGCAGCCGCGGUAACACGUAAGUUGCGAGCGUUGUUCGGAAUUAUUGGGCGUAAAGGGCAUGUAGGCGGUAAUGCAAGUCUGGUGUGAAAUACCGGGGCUCAA
rnacentral:rRNA from 1 species